UAAUUAAUUUCAAAGUAAAACGUCCAAAGGAAUUAUAUUUGUGGCUAUAUUACGUUAGGUCAAGUCAGGUGAGGUCAGGUGAGGUCAGGUCAGGUCAGGUCAGGUCAAGUCAGGUGAGGUCGGGUCAGGUCAGGUAAUUAAUUCUCUCUAUUUUAACAGGUGUCAAGACAUCCAAUCAAGCUUUCCCCGUUCGUCCAAUCAACCGUUCGUACAAUCAAACUUUCACCGUUCGUACAAUCAAGCUUUCACCGUUCGUCCAACCAAGCUUUCACCGUUCGUCCAACCAAGCUUUCACCGUUCGUCCAAUCACCUCAUGGUCAGACCUCAUGUUGGUAACUCCACCACCGUUGGCUUGUAAUUAGUAAUUGGUCAACGGUUGUGGAGUACCUUCGUGAAGCUUACCACAUGCAGCGAGUCUCAAGCUUACCACAUGCUCAAGCUUAUAACAUGCAGCGAGUAUCAAAGCUUACCACCUGCCAGCGAGUAUCAAGCUUACCACAUGCAGCGAGGCUCAAAGCUUACCACAUGCAACCGUGUGGGAUCUGACCACUCUUGACCACACUACCAAGGCUGAAGACGAUGACCCCGGCCUCCCCAGCUCCCUCCAUGAACUCCUCCAGAUCCUGCGCGACAGAUGGAGAUCAGACGAGGCCUCCGGGAGCUGAUCUCUUAAAGAUUCCCCAAAUUAAUGUUUCCCACUAACUGAGGUAGUCGAGAGCCUCAUUGUUACGGCACAAACACAGGGAAAUUUUAACUCCUCUUCGGGCAAGUUUACGUAAUUGUUAUAAUGAUGUAAACGACUUUUGGAGAUAAAAUAAAAACUUUCAGUAAAAA